AGUCGAACGGUAACAGGUUAAGCUGACGAGUGGCGAACGGGUGAGUAAUGCAUCGGAACGUGCCCGGUCGUGGGGGAUAACGCAGCGAAAGCUGCGCUAAUACCGCAUACGAUCUGAGGAUGAAAGCGGGGGACCGUAAGGCCUCGCGCGAUCGGAGCGGCCGAUGUCAGAUUAGGUAGUUGGUGGGGUAAAGGCUCACCAAGGCGACGAUCUGUAGCUGGUCUGAGAGGACGACCAGCCACACUGGAACUGAGACACGGUCCAGACUCCUACGGGAGGCAGCAGUGGGGAAUUUUGGACAAUGGGCGCAAGCCUGAUCCAGCAAUGCCGCGUGCAGGAUGAAGGCCUUCGGGUUGUAAACUGCUUUUGUACGGAGCGAAAAGGUUCUCUCUAAUACAGGGGGCUCAUGACGGUACCGUAAGAAUAAGCACCGGCUAACUACGUGCCAGCAGCCGCGGUAAUACGUAGGGUGCGAGCGUUAAUCGGAAUUACUGGGCGUAAAGCGUGCGCAGGCGGUCUUGUAAGACAGAUGUGAAAUCCCCGGGCUCAACCUGGGACCUGCAUUUGUGACUGCAAGGCUGGAGUACGGCAGAGGGGGAUGGAAUUCCGCGUGUAGCAGUGAAAUGCGUAGAUAUGCGGAGGAACACCGAUGGCGAAGGCAAUCCCCUGGGCCUGUACUGACGCUCAUGCACGAAAGCGUGGGGAGCAAACAGGAUUAGAUACCCUGGUAGUCCACGCCCUAAACGAUGUCAACUGGUUGUUGGGUCUUAACUGACUCAGUAACGAAGCUAACGCGUGAAGUUGACCGCCUGGGGA
rnacentral:rRNA from 1 species